UAGAAUCUCCCUUUCCUCUCAAUCCUCUUGGUGCCGCCGCCGCUGCGCACAGGGCACAUCUCACGCGAUGGCGGCUUCUUCAGCCAAGGCGCUCACUAUCCUCCUGCCCUCCUCCACGUCUCCUCGCCUCCACCCCACCCACUUCAUGUGCGUUGCUUCUCCAAGAUUGAGGCAUGGUACUCGGCGGCUGCGGCAAAGGAACUGGUGGAGCGCGAGCUGACCAGUUCAACGGAGGCAGGAGCAUGGAGCAGCGGCAGCAGCAUGGUGGGCGGCCGCUUGAAUUGAAUCUUAAUUAUGGAUGCUUUUAUAUCUUCCUAUUUGAAGUAUGCAUGCAGUUUUGGUUCUUCAGCAAUUUGGCCAGGCGGCUCUGAUUUACUUGUGCUGCUUUAGAUUAAGGAUUGUUGUGCUGCUGGGAUUAUGCCAUGUUUGAUUCAGAUUUUACUCAAAUUUCGGCCGAAAUUCAUCUGUAUUUCGGUCAAAUUUUAUCCAAAAAUUCAAAUUUUGUUUCUGCAAUUUCGUCCGAGAUUUUACCGAAAUAUUUGAAAUGGCCGAAAUUCGUCCAUCUCGGUCAGGGGCGAAAUAAAACACAAAACGAAAAUCAAAACACAGGAAAUAAUCUAUUAGUGGUAUCUAAUUUACUUUAUGUUCUUUAGCCCGGCAGUUCCUAUCAUAUGAAUAUCCAUACAAUAAAACAAUCAUUACCUGUGUUUGAGAAAAUAGACAUUGAUAAGCAAUUUGUUGUACAAUAACUUAACUAAGUGUUAUCGUUACCUGCCUAUUGGUAGAUGCAAGAAUUAUCUAAUGGUACUGUUUGUGCACAGCUGCAGUCCCAUUUUUUUGACUGAUGUGAUGCACAAUAGUUGGAAGUUGACUACAUAAAAAACCAGCUUGAACCAACUAGGUAGCUCAAUAGGUACAUUUGGAAGCUUAGUUAGGCCUUGUUUAUGGUCUUAAAUCCAUAAUAACUACUUGAUUUUAAAUUUUGGUGCAUGUUCGAGAAAUAAAACAAUGGACACCAAGAUUGGCAAAAAAAAUGAUAGCUGAACUAAAUUUCACUGUUGCUGUGUUUUGAUAUCUGCAACAUGAUGCAGCUAUACAUGCCUUAGCUACUAAUCAAGUCAGGUUGUUCUGUUGUUCUGAAACCAGUGAUAAAUAGCAUGUUUACUCGAUGUUCAGGAUAUUAGUAAUUUGUAGCUACUCGGUCGGGUGAGGAGUAGGGAUUAAUCGGUGAAUCGGGCUAUUAACUGAAUAUAUCGGCAACCCAUUUAUCGGUAGGUUAAUUAGGCCAUAUCUAUAUAUCGUAGCUACAUAUAGCAAUAAUGCAGCAGCAGCAGCAAUAAAGGAGAGGCAAUAAGCAGCAGCAGCUUAUAGCACAGAGCAGGAGCAGCAUAUAGCAUAGCACAAAGCAGAUUAGCAUAUAGUUAUAUGCUGAUCUGCAAGUGCUGGUUUCGGGGAGGGGAGGGGUGAGGGGGGCGGCGAGCUCGAGCAGGAGGAAUAGGCUCGGUACCUGGAUCCUUGAGCAGUGCAAGCGCCUCUGCCGGAUGGCGCGGCAGAUGCUUGGGGCGGCGGUGGCUGCUCGGAGAGGGGGGCGGAGGCGGCUGCUCCUAGCCUCCUCAAACAAGGGUUACUAAGGGAGGGGAGGGAGAGUGAGAAGGGAGGGAAUGGGCUGACCUAAAACACCCAGUUUUGGGGUAAAGGAGGGAAUGGGCCAAAAUUUUGGAGCCCAAAUUUCUCUCUCCCUCUAAUCAGUUAAUUGGUCCAGUGGGAUAAAUCGGCCUGACAGCCGAUUAAUCCGCUUGACCAGUUAACGCGAUGGAUAAGGUGUUAUUGCACCCGUGACCUACGGAUUCAGGAUUAACUGGCCGAUUACCUUAAAUAUCGGCCAAUAUUUUUAACAGUGUGUUUACUAGUACUCAAACUGAAAGAGAAACAAGUCUGACCUUUUUGGUAGGUACAAUUUCAAUGAAGAUUAUAGUUGUACCUGCAGACGAGGUGGAUCCUAUCUUCUGGGCACCUUGCCGAUAGAUCCUGGUAGAAGUGCCAUCUGAUUAUGUCAUUGCAGUUGGAGAGUCCCAGCUGUUUUUCUUUUCUUUGUGUUCGAACCUGUUUCUUGCCAGGACAUACAGCUUUUUUUGUGUGCCAGGACAUGCAGCUGGCCGGAUCAACCUUUUUUUAUUCGAUUAGUACUAGUUGCUUGCUGCAGGAUCUAGGUGAUGAACAUUGCCGGACCACCUUUUUUUGUUCGAUGAGUCAUGAGUCUUUAGUUGGUUAUUGAAGGAUCUAGAUGAUCAAUGUUUCCGGAUCAUUGAUUAGUUAGGUUAUGGCCAGCUUGUUUUCAGAUGAGAGUCCAUUUGGGGAUUUUGAUUUCUAGAAGGUGUCUGAUGUUACGUGGACAAGGCUUCGAGAUCAAGUUGGCAAGGGGUUUGCUUUAUGCCUAUAUCAAGUGCAGGCUUUGGCCAUAUGUAAAGAGUCGAAUUUUGAGUUGAAAAGCAGAAGGGUCGCAUCAAAUCCGUUACUUGUUAGUUGUUAAGUUCUUGGGAGGGUAUCUGAGAGUUGCUAGUGUGAACAUUGAUCUAAUCAAUAUGGGUGCCAGUUUUGGCUUCAGUUCUUGCAUCUUCCUUGAUUUGAAGUGUAUGCUACCACUAUAGUUCAUUGUUGCUUCGUCGAGCACCCGUGAAAGAUUGGGCGUGAACAGCCUCGCUUUAGCGUCUUGCUAGUUUGUGCCUCAUCACAAAAAUAAUAUCAGGUAGCCACAUGUUUUUCCUCGAGAUAAAUAAUAUAACAGUUUGAAGUUGAAGACAACUACAUGAAAACUAGAAUGAACCAACUGAAAUAUCAAAUAAGUAGCUCACUGGUGCGUUAGAAGCUAAAAGAUAGUUCUAUUUCUUUCAUUCAAUAUUAGUAUCUAUCAUGGAUUAUGAGUUCAAGGACUAGUCAAGACUGGUCUAUGAGUCUCAACUCCAGGGCUGACUACACUUCAGUGCCGACUAGUCUUUGAGUGGCAACUUCAGUGUCGACUAGUGUCAAUUAGUCACGCUUAGUGUAUGAGUCUCAACCUCAGAACGACUUGUCAACUCGUAAACCUUGGUAUCUAUACUUAUCUCACUAGUAAUCUUAAAUCCAUAACGAUGAAUUUUCAUGAAAUUUACUAGAUAAUUGUUCCUUUUACCACAUUAGGAGAGGGAGUAGCAAGUCCGUUUGUACUAGGGAAAACCAAUACAUCGAGUUCAUUUCUUUUUUCGGGCUAAAUUUGUUUGAAGAUAAUCUAAAUCUGAAUAGUCUAUAUCACUUUUGUUGCUAGAAUUUAUUAUGUGAUCUUUUUCAGGCUAAAUUUAUUUGAAUACAAUCUAAAUAUUAAUAACCUUGAUCUAUAUUUUCCAAUAUGGCAUGAACUGAGCUUAAAAGUUAUGUCUCUUCUGAGUUCUGACCAGCUAAUGGUCUGAGUGUGCAUCUUCAUUUUUGUGAUAGUAAUCAGUUUAUACUGUUUUUUAAUAUUCAUUAACUUUGACAGUGGGUAUUUUUUUUAAUAUGUUCCUAAUGUUGUUUCGAAAUUGAUUCCUUUUUUUAUUUGAACUACAGCUGUGAGUUCAUCUAAACAUCUUCUUGAUGCCUCUUGUAUCUAUUUGGCUUUUCAUUGGUUAUUUUACUUCUUAUGCUUGCAGAAACAGACAUUGCUGGUGGACAUGGUGGAGCUGAUCUUUUGCACAAGACAUAAGAUGAUUGUCCAGUUAUAUAUGCUAUGUGAUGUACCGGUUGAGCAGGUAAGCAUAUCUUCUGCAUGUAUGUUGUGGUAUGUGAACUGUUCUUACAAAAUGUACUGCUUUGCCUUUUGUUGUCAUUUCUCAAGUACCAAAUUGCAAGAGAGGACUCUUCAGAUUUUCUCAACAAUUCUUUGGUUAGCUAUAGCCCACCUCCUAUCAUGCUUUGAUGCUAGGCUAAAUCUUGAAUCUUUUCUCCGUACUCCCCAAGUUCCUGCUAGUUGUGCUGAAGGUCGGGCCUGGCGCAGUGGUAGUCUCUCCACUUGUGGCCUGGAGGUCAUUGGUGAUGUAGGACCGUUACUCCUUCCCUGUUUAUGCAUAUAUUUGUGCUUGCCCAGAGAUUAGAGUGAUUUCAUGCAGGUAGUAGCAAAUGAACUACCAACCCUCUGCUGUGCUUCUGCGAUAUAUUUCUGCUUUACUUUUACUUGUUGCUGCAUUACCUUUAACUUCUGUUUUAUGUGCCCAUGGUUCUAUCAUGUCCUAGUUUGAUUUGAAUGUUGUCCUGUCUACACAAGUGAUUUAUAACUAACACUACCUGAGCAUUUGGUUUCAUAUUUCUUUUUUUAUAUGGACUUAUAGAAUUGCCAUUUCAUGUUGCUGCUUAUUUUGGAUCAUUGUGAUACCUACUGAACUACAAUUGUCACAAUAUUUGAAGAGUAUACCUUCUUUAAAUCUUAUAAUGCUGCUUAUAGAAGAGUUUUAUGGAUGACUAUUCUAGUUUUAGGUUGUUUUGUUAAACAUUUUCCCAGCAUGUCAUUUGGUGUCUGCCAUACUUGCGUAAAUAUGUAAUUGGCUAUUAGCCACUAUUAUAAUUUGACAGCUCCAAACUAUAGGUAGUAUGCUUUGUGUGGAGUAUUUUUUUUUCAGUUUUGUCCACUCUUGAUGUUUAAUACUUCAUACAAAACACAAGAUCAAAAUAAAAUGACUAGAUUCACUAUAAAAACUGGUUUUUUAUCAAUAAUGCCAUUUUUUAUUUUUACUAGCAUGUUACCAUUAAAAUAGUGGUGAAAGUAUUGCUUGAUACUGUAGAGAGUAAAAUAACAACAACAACAACAACAACAAAGCCUUUAGUCCCAAACAAGUUGGGGUAGGCUAGAGGUGAAACCCAUAAGAUCUCGCAACCAACUCAUGGCUCUGGCACAUGGAUAGCAAGCUUCCACGCACCCCUGUCCAUAGCUAACUCUUUGUUGAUACUCCAAUCCUUCAGGUCUCUCUUAACGGACUCCUCCCAUGUCAAAAUCGGUCGACCCCGCCCUCUCUUGACAUUCUCCGCACGCUUUAGCCGUCCGCUAUGCACUGGAGCUUCUGGAGGCCUGCGCUGAAUAUGCCCAAACCAUCUCAAACGAUGUUGGACAAGCUUCUCCUCAAUUGGUGCUACCCCAACUCUAUCUCGUAUAUCAUCAUUGCGGACUCGAUCCUUCCUCGUGUGGCCACACAUCCAUCUCAACAUACGCAUCUCCGCCACACCUAACUGUUGAACAUGUCGCCUUUUAGUCGGCCAACACUCCGCGCCAUACAACAUUGCGGGUUGAACCGCCGCCCUGUAGAACUUGCCUUUUAGCUUUUGUGGCACUCUCUUGUCACAGAGAAUGCCAGAAGCUUGGCGCCACUUCAUCCAUCCACCCUAUACUGUAGAGAGUAAAAUAAAAGUCAUUUUAAUUUGGACCGAAAGAAGUUUCUGCUAUAGUAAGAAGACGCCUGACCCUUUGGUUCAUUGGAUACGAAUAUCACAGGAAUAGAAAACUUGUACGAAAUGAGAUUUCAUGUACCUCAAAUCCUAUGCGUAGGAAUAGGAAGAGAGAUAUCCUUUGGUUCACAUCAUUAGAUUUUUUCCAUUGAGUCUAGGCUAAUGUUUGUUUUCCUAUGAAAUGUGGAGGAUAGGAAGAAUUCCUCCAUAGUAAUAGGAUUCUAUUCCUACAAACCAAAAGGACUCUAAAGGAAUUUUUCCUACAGAAAUCCUAUCCUAUAGCAUUCCAACAAAAUUCCUCCAAACCAAAGGAGGCCUCAUAAUAUUAUAAGUUGAAGGUGUGCUAACUGCACUACCAAUUACCUGUUCUCUGUUUCAGUUGUUUGUUCUGUCUAAUAAUGCGGAGGGUUCAACUUUUGUGGUUUUUUGACACGAUUUCCAUAAUUCUGAAGCUAAUGUUUUUCUAUUUCUAGUCAUAGAAAAUUAUGAGAGCAACCCCGAUAGCUUUUCCUGAUUCAGUAGUACAUUUUGUUUGACUGAUGAUAUUGCUUGCUCCGCAGGAUCUACAGUUACAUUUUGUUGGCUGAGAUGCAGAAGUUGCUUGUCAAGUGUAGUUUCUUCCAUCUGUAUGCUCGACGCCGAGAUUGAGCCUCUAUGUAGCAUGCAGUCUUCAGCUCUGAAGUGAACCUGUAGGAAUUAAUCGCUUGAUUUGCUAAUUUCAGUAGACAUUCGGCGACUGGCAUGAAGGCGCAUUGGCCUGCUUCGAUUUAAUUUGCCUUGUGAGACAAGCAUGUUGUCAUGAGCUUAAACUAUCAACUGAUCUUGCUUGCAUUUUAUUAUCUUCUGUGUUGUAUCAGCAGGGAGAGGUUUUGACGUCCGAUUUGUCUUUUUUUUUUCUUCUUUUGCCGAAUCUCUACCUGGUUACGUGCUGCCUCGAG
rnacentral:lncRNA from 1 species